rnacentral:lncRNA from 1 species
UGGACAGUGGGACAAACCACUGCAGAGAAGUCAGCAGACAGCCCCCUCCUCCCUGCCUUAUGGUCCAGUUCAGAACCCCUGUCACCAACAUUCCCCAGUUCCCAGCUCUGUGACAUCACAGUCUCCUGUCCACUCAGCCAGCAGGUGACAGAAGCUUAAAGGUGGAGCCUUGCUAUGUAAGCUCCCCACCAUCAGUCUCUAGAGUACCAGAUGUUCCCCAGUAACGGAAAAGAGAGUGAAGCCACUGAUGUCCCUGCCGUCCCUCUUGGCUGUGACACCUGGACAAGUCCCAUUUCUAAGCCUCAGAUCCCUCUGAAAAUGGUGGAAUACCAUUUUGCAUCACAUACAGAAGAGACAAAAGAAAAAUGAGCCUCAGAUGUCAAAGGACCUGCCCUAGAUGAUCAAUAAACGUCAGCACACCUGGAACUGAGACUGAUUCUCUUCCCAUCAACUUGAAUGGCAAAGACUAUUGGUAAAAGUACCCACAGAUUCUUCAACUGCUUUUGCACAGGACCAGAGCAGAACAAAUCCAAGUUCAUUCAUCCAUUCCACCAAUGCCCAGGAAACGUUGGACACCACAGGAACCCCACUCAGAAGACCACAGGAAACAAAGAACUGCCUUCCCAGAGGGUCUGAACUCAUACAAAUUACUACAUUCUGGGCAGGGUAGAAUACAAUAAAGCUGUGGGCAGUGGAACAGGAGUCCCGAGAGUGGGAGAAAUAAAUGCUCUGACUCAUUCAAGGAAGACCAACUGGAAGGAGCAAGAGUAGCCAAUGCAAUAAACCAGGGGGUGAGGUAAGAGGGGUAGGGAGAUGGAAGGUAGGUGAGAAGCCAGAGCCCAUCUGUGAUGCCAGAGAGUAGACCUCAUGUGCUGUGAUUGACAUUCAACAACUAUGUUGGAAAUUUCUGAUGGGCUUCUGGGAGUUGAAGCCUCACAGCCAGGUACCCAAUACCUUUUCCUCUUUCCAACACCACCAAAGCAUGGCGUCCAAAAUCUUCUGUUGCUGUUACAAGGCCAAUGAUACAACUAACAACAAUGCCAGCCACCCGUCUACAACAGUGACCCAACAGAAUCAACCAGUGUGGGGCAGUUGCUUCAUGCCACCAAACAGAAGACCUCCUCAGGUUGAAGAAGCUCCAAAAAUCCCCCGGGAUAUGAACGUAAAUGCUCAUCAAAGGGCUAUUCAAAGGAGAUACUCAUUCAUCUCCCCAGAACACUGUUCGCUAUUUAGCCUUCAGAGACCCUGAGGGUUCUAGAGGCAGCAGACCAGGAUAUCUGAGCUGCACAGCUGCUGGAGGGUCUCCAUGAGGAUGAAGAAGGCAGUGGACAGGAGUCAUGAAGACCGAUUCCGAAACUCCACCGCAAGGAGGGAAGAGGUCUGAGCCAUCCCUGUGCCACCAAGCGUGAGUCACACCAGCUCCUGACAGCCACGGAGGGAGUGCUGCCUGCAAUUAAAGUCCUUGUUUGCAUCA